rnacentral:rRNA from 1 species
AUUGAACGCUGGCGGCAGGCUUAACACAUGCAAGUCGAGCGGAGAUGAGGUGCUUGCACCUUAUCUUAGCGGCGGACGGGUGAGUAAUGCUUAGGAAUCUGCCUAUUAGUGGGGGACAACAUUCCGAAAGGAAUGCUAAUACCGCAUACGUCCUACGGGAGAAAGCAGGGGAUCUUCGGACCUUGCGCUACUAGAUGAGCCUAAGUCGGAUUAGCUAGUUGGUGGGGUACAGGCCUACCAAGGCGACGAUCUGUAGCGGGUCUGAGAGGAUGAUCCGCCACACUGGGACUGAGACACGGCCCAGACUCCUACGGGAGGCAGCAGUGGGGAAUAUUGGACAAUGGGGGGAACCCUGAUCCAGCCAUGCCGCGUGUGUGAAGAAGGCCUUAUGGUUGUAAAGCACUUUAAGCGAGGAGGAGGCUACUGAGACUAAUACUCUUGGAUAGUGGACGUUACUCGCAGAAUAAGCACCGGCUAACUCUGUGCCAGCAGCCGCGGUAAAAC